UACGUAGGGUGCGAGCGUUGUCCGGAAUUAUUGGGCGUAAAGAGCUCGUAGGCGGUUUGUCGCGUCGAAUGUGAAAACCCGGGGCUCAACCCCGGGCCUGCAUUCGAUACGGGCAGACUAGAGUUCGGUAGGGGAGUCUGGAAUUCCUGGUGUAGCGGUGAAAUGCGCAGAUAUCAGGAGGAACACCGGUGGCGAAAGCGGCUCUCUGGGACGGUACUGACGCUGAGACGCGAAAGCGUGGGGAGCAAACAGG
rnacentral:rRNA from 1 species